UCAAGCUGGAGACAGAAGAAAAGCCCCCUUGGGGGCUCCACAGUCAAGCUCAGCCGUUUCCCUGGGAGGACUUCUGCUUCUAGUCCUUCCUUGCAACUUCCGCUCUGCUCCUGGGCUCUCUGUGUCUUCCUUCCUCCUUUUCUACACAAUGUAUUUUAUGAACGUGAAGGAGGAGCACAUCAUGGUGAGAGGCAGGCUCCUGAGUGAGGAUUUACAUGCCAUCUCCACCCCCUACCCCGUCAGGCGAGCUGCAGCAUCGGACAGGUUUCUGCGCCUCUCUAGCCUCAGUUUACUCAUUGUGAAAUGAGUAAGAAGCAAAAUAGGACCAGAAGUAGUUUGAAUACGUGGAUAAAAAUUCCGAACAUAGAGCAACUUGAAAUGGAAAGCCAGAAAAUUCUCUGUGAUUUCCGAAAGGAAAUUCCACAUCCAUUCCACAAGGAUGUGACUAUUUGGAGGCUGACAAAGAAGAGGUUCAGCGGGUGACACAGGACCAGAAUAGCCCGAGAAGGAAAGCCAGAGAGGACCACCCCGGCGCGGUUCACCCAAUCCUCGGUGAGGAGGGCUCCCGUUAACCCCGGAAGCGCUCUGUGAAUUGUUUUGUAAUUUGUUGUGAAUACAGUUUUGCUUAAGUUAAUAUUUUUAUCAAAGUUCAAGUCAUUUAUAUAGUAACGUGGGUUCCAUCAUUUUUACUAAGCCUUUUUGCUGUCCAUUCCUAAGAUCCGAGUUAAAAGAAGCCCCGAGGUUUUACUGGGGAUGGAGUCCUGAGCGGCGCGGGAGGGGCCCGCGGGCGGCUGCCGGCCGAUGGGGUGCAGACCCGUCCCCGGGCUGCAGUCCAAAUUCUGCCCCUGGCUUGUUCCUAUCCGGAUGGGCGCACGUUCACAGGCGCUCCUCCUCCCGGAAUGCAGCUUCCGCUUGCCUUGUCUCUGUUUGAUCCCACUGCUGCCAGGUGGCAAACCAAACGCGGAACCCUGCAAGGUGUGAGGCGAAGUCCUCAAGGUGCCUCGUCUGGGAAGGGAAGGGCCGACGCUGCGCCACCGUGAAAGGGGGUGUGAUUUUCUUUUGUUUCUUCCUUGAGGAACGUGUGUUCUUACUUCCAGGCACUAACAGUCCUCCGACUGGUUUUUUGGCCAUAAUGCUAACUGUCCCUACAGGCGGUGAAGAAGAUAUAGGCCGUGAUAAUUACAGGCUGACUCACCACUCCCGGGAGGCUGUGAAACGGAGCCUGGUGCUGGAAUCCUUCUCACUGGUGUCUUCACCUGGUCUGUGUAUUAGUCAGGGUUCUGCGGAGAAACAGAACCAAUAGAGAGAGUUUAUUUUAAGGAAAUGGCUCACAUCGUUGCUGGGCUGGCAAGUCUGAAGUUCACACAGCAGGCUGCCAGCCUGGGAAUUUUGGCAAGAGUUGUAGUCUUGAGUCCAAAGGCAGUCUGAGGGAGAGUUCCCUCUUCAUUGGGGGGCCUCAGUCUUUUUCUGUUAAGGCUGUCAACUGAUUAGAUGAGGCCCACCCACAUUAUGGAGGAUUACCUACUUUACUCAAAGUCUACUGAUUUAAAUGUUAAUCACAUCUAAAAAAUGGCUUCACAGUAGCAUCUAGACUGAUGUUUGACCAAACACCUGGGCCCCAUGGCUAGCUACGAUGACAUUAAGUUAACCAUCACCCAGUCUGGGUACUCUGGUUUCCCCAGUCCUGGCCUUUCACAGUCAAGGGUUCUCCCUCUCCCCGCCCUGAUUUCUUAGUAAAUCAUCAGUUCCUUGUAUCUCGGUCUGGACUUUUAUUUUUUCCUUAUUAAAAGUACUAGAGGUACAUGAAAGAAAAUUUAGAAAAAGCAUUAUUCUAACACCACCCAUGAGAAACAAUCAUUGGGCUGUGUGUCCUGCCAGUCAUUGUGCUGUGCGUGCAUAAGCAGGGAUAAUAACGGCUAACACACUGUGUUCCAGUUAUGAACUCACUCAAUCCUCCUGGCAUCGGUGAGGUAGGUACCAUUAUUAUUUCUAUGAUAAGUGAGAAAAACAAGGCACAGAGAAGUUAAGUGACUUGCCCAAAUCCACACAGCUUGUGAAGGGCAGUUUCAGGGUCAGACCCAAGUGCUCUGGCUCUGGAGUCUGGGCUUUUAAUCACUUCGUUAUAGUGGCCCCGGAUACACAUAUUUUUCUAUAAUAUGGGGAUUAUUCUAAAUACAAUAUACUGUUUAUUUUUACCUGAUUUUCAUAAUUAACUUUUAAGGUCAUUAAAUAAUCUUCUGCAUUUCUACAUCAUAUUUAGUUGUAGCAAAGAAUUCCACUGAAUGGAGGUGCUGUUCCUUAUUUCAUUAUUCCCUUCUUUAGCUAGUUAGCUUUCCUCCUUUUUUUUUCUUUUGUAAAACAUGUAAUGUGAAUAUUCCUAGACAUAUAUUUUUGUGCCACUCUCUCCAAAGGGGGCUUCAGUUCCCAUUCCCGUAAGGUCCAGCCUCUACAAACCCCUGGAUAUCAUUUUAUAAUUUUAAAAAGUCCCCAUUUUACUUGAUGACAUCUCAGGGCUGUCAUUUGAAUUCCUUUCAUUGAUUGUGAGGAGAACAUCAUUUUUCCUCCACGUGUUUAUUGACCAUUUGUAUUUUAUAUAUAAAUUUUUGGUUCAUUUCCUUUAUUUUUCUAGAGAUGGAAAAUUGCAGUCUUCUAAACUAGAUCUUUUCUUGUGAAAAUCACUUUUAGACACUGUUUUCUUCAUCCUCUGGUGAUGUCCUCUUGUCUUCUGUCGUCUCUAGACCCUGGAGCCCAGGGGGAUUUUCUAGAAACUCACCGACCUUCCCGAUGGUAUGAGCUAGCCUCCAGCAGUCCUGGCAGGCUCUGGGAGAGGCUGGUGAGGAUUCCUCUGGAGGACAAGUUGUUCAGCCCCUGGAGGGGGCAUGAGGAAGAGGAGAGUGUGGGGCUACUGCCAUCUGCCUGAUUCCCUGAGGCCCAGGCUCUGGGCUGGAGGUGGCUCUGGCGUAGCGGGGAGGCUCUCUGCUGAUGGAGCCGCGGUCCUGCCUUUGAGGCCAACUUCUCCCACAACUCCCGCCCCUCUCUGGGCCUCAGGGGCUCAUCUGAAAAGCAGGGGUGGUGAUGGCCCUCCCGUAGGGUGUAGCAAGGACAAAUGUGAAUGCGUUUUGCAGAUGGUUCUCAAAUUAUAACGAAGGCAAAGUUAUUUUUAUUUUGAGCUGUAAUUGUGGUCUGGUUCUUCAAGGAAAGAGUUGGGUGGUUUGCGGUGAGGAUGUCCAAGUUUGUCAUAUUUGGAGAAUGUUUGGCAUUUUUGGGUGGGAUCUGCUAGUGACCUCCCCACCCCAUGCUCUCUGAGUCUCAGUCUCCUCCUCUGUAAAGUGGGGACCAUGGUACCAACCUCGCUGGGCUGUGUGAGGAUUAAAUGAGUUAAUCUAUAUAAAGCAGUGAGAUUAUCCAUUGGCACCUAGUGAGAGUUAUAUGGAUUAACUCGUUAAAUCCUCGUACAAUCCAGUGAGGUAGGUAUUGCUUUAUCAUUACUUUACAGGGGAGGACACUGAGACUAGGUGGGUGAAGUGGCCAGCCCAAGGUGGCACUUAAUAGUGGCUUAGCUAAAUAUACAUCCAGGCGGUCUGUCCUGAGAGUCCACAUUUCUAACCACUGUCCUAUACAGCCACUAUCCUGUACUGGGCUGGGGAGAAGAGGCGGGUAAGGAAGGAGAGAAACCUGGCCAUAAGUUAAGAUGACUGUCAAGCUUCCUUCAUGCUUCUCAGCCCCUCCUUGCACAGUCUCCUCCAGCCACACCUCCUCCAGGAAAUCUUGCCAGGUGAGCCCCACCCAUGUGAUCACUCUUUUUCCCCAUCUAUUUUCAACUUAUCAACCUAGUUGUCUGCAUGGUGCUUUGUAAUGCCUUGAACAUUGUUAUUCAAUUCAGUGGGCAUGUAUCAAAUGCUUAGAACACAGGGCUAGAGCCAUGGGGCAUGCAGACACGGAAGAAACACAUUUCCUCCCUUCCAGGCAUUUAUAACCCUGUCAGGGACGUAGAGGAAGACGGUCAUACGAAAUACCAAUGAAAGAGAAAUUGAGAUCAGUGUGGUAAAAGAAUUAUGACCUGUGUUCUAUAGAAGUGUGGGGGAAAUAAAGCUUAAUUCAGACUGGCGAUGGGUACGCCGGGAAAGCGUCACAGGUCGUGCAUUUGCACUGGGUCCUGAAGGAUGGCUCCGGUUUUAAGAGGCAGUAUGAUGGGAGAGCAAUCAGUGAAAUAGAGCAGGAGUAAAGACCCAUCCUGUAAACUAUGCCCCGCUGAUGCAAGGCAACAUCGUCAGUGCUAUUGUAGCAGCUUUGUGGUUAUGAGUAAUGGGAGCAGGAGCUCUUUGUCCUUGAGACUUGUUCAUGUGUUUGCAUCCCAUUUAAAUCAUCAACAGAGAUCCUGCAUUCUGUGCUCUUGUUCUGCAUUUCCCCCGGCUGACCCGUGGCUCAGAGCUCCCUUCUCCUGUAGGGACAAACUGCAGAGAGGUUGGUUCUGUCCUCUGAUCAAGUGCUUAACUGCGUUGCUCCCAUCUCCCUGGUCUGAUAAGGGUGUCCUUCUGGGCCGAAGUGAGGGAGCCCUGCAGUGCCUGCAUUCUACUCAGUGCCUAAACUUUUUGCUUGUGAACCUAGUGAGGCUGUUGCCACCCCCUGGUCCCAGGAACGCAUCCAGCUGUGUUGCUUUGGGUCGGUCUGGGGUCUGAGGUCUGGCUUCAGGUAAUAGGUGCUGGAGGCUUGAGGUUAAUGUGAGGAAUAGAAAUAUUAGACCACCUCUGAGUAGCAGGGAACUUUUCCUGGACAAUAGUUUUUCAUUUUCCCAUUCGUCCAUCGCCCAUCCAACAAACAUUUGUUUAAUCCCUUCUCUGUGUCAGGCAGUGAACUUGGUGCUGGGGACCCAAAGAGCAAAAAACACAGUUCUUGUCCUCAAGCUCGGGGUCUAGUGACAUGUGAUCAUGCAAUUACAGCACUGAGUACUUUGAUCAGAGAAGGGGCACCCCACACGGAAUGAGGGUUAGGGAGCUGGCAAUUCUGAACAGAGUCUCAGUGGACAAAAGGGAGAUGGGAGAGGAAGUGCAGACAGAAGGUACAGGAGAAGGUGAGGCAUGGGGUGCCCAGGGACACUUGCUGGGGCCGAGAGAGGGUUGGGGGGUGGAGGCUGCCAAGCUAGGUGACUGGACAAGGAAGACAGACCCAGGUCAUGAAGGUUCUUGUGGGCCAUGCAGUAGCAUUUGGAUGCUACUCUCGGGGCCCUGAAGGGUUCUGAGCAUAGAAAUGACUUGUUUGGCUCUGCACUGUAUAAAGAAAACUGACUGUAGUGAGGAAAAUGCCGUGGUGGGGGCAGGAGUGAGAGCAGGGAGGCCGUGAGGAGGCUGUUGCAGUGGUUCAGGAAAGAGAAGAUGAGGACCUGGCCUGGGCAGGGGGAGGGAACUGGAGGUUGGGAGAGAAUUGAGAGGUACUGAGGGGGUAGAAUCAACAGGACAUGCCUAUCAAGUGGAUGUGGGUGGGGAGGACAGGGAGGAGUCAAGGAUGACUUCCAGUGGUCUGACUGUGCCUUCCACUGGGUCGCUGGGGAUGCUCUUCGCUGAGUCAGAGAACAGGAGGAGGAACAGCUUUGCAUCAGGCCUGCGGGCAGAGAGGUGAGUUGAGUCUUGGGCAUGUUGAGUCAGCUGGAGAUAGGGCACUGGAGCUGAGGGGAUGUCAAGGCCUAUAGCAGAAUUUGGAAAUCUUUGGGAUAUAAGUUUUAGGUAAAAGGCAAAGGGUAUUGGGUUUGAGUGGAAUGUAUGAAGCAGAUCAAGAAGAACAUUUUAAAGAGAGUUGGAGACGAGCAGAAAGAGUGUAUCCAGGAGAGUAUAACUGUGGCCCGUGUUGAAGAGAUGCAGUCAGACAGACUGGAAAGGGCUUGGAGCUGGCAAUAUGGGAGCACAGCUGGCUCCAGGACCACAGAUUUUGAAGAACGGGAGGAGAAGUCAGAAUACAGUGUGUUGGGUGAGUGGGAGGUGAUGAGGGGAGAGAGAGAGGCAUCUUGUUGAAAUAAGUUUGCCUAAGAAGGUAAGGCCAGAGAGAGGGGUGGAGAAGGGAGAGACCAGUCAAGGAAGAGUUGCUUUAGAAUGGGAAAGCCUUGGUCAUGCUCUUGUGUUGAGCGGAAGGAGUCAGUGGAGAGGAAGGUAGAACAUAGAAAGCCUGUGUCACCAUGCUUAGGGGAAUCCCAGAGGGGCCUCGGCCACAGGGGCUGCAGGGAACUCCAGGCCCUGUAGGUAAAGCAGCCUUCUGGCCUGACAGGCUACCGUGCUGAGCCCCUCUGCUGCCACCCAGGCCUCAGUUCCCUCCACGCUCUACCAGUGGGCUGUGCUGGAUCUUUGUUCUACAAAACUGGCCCCAGCUGGCUGCAGAGCUGAUGGGACCUAGUCCAAACCUCCUUUUGUCUCCACAGCUUCAGCCUGUAUUUAGCAGCAGGAAGGUUUCCUUGGGUCUCUGCCGCCAACUGCCACAGUUGUGGAGUAAGGUGGAUCAUGAGACAGGCCUGGCACAGGGCAGCCAGGUUAAAGCUUCAGGCGUUGGUUCUGAGCCACGCAGAGGCCUGGGCUAAACCACCAAGGGCCUGUGGUCAGGCUGCCACCUAGUGUUGAGCCAGCUGUACAGCAGGGAGGCCUCUACAAGGCACCAACCAUGAGUAGGGAGAGGCCAGAAGCAGGGAAAACCAGACACCAGCAGAGAAGUCAGACUUCAGAGAGGACUCGGCAUCCUGAGCAAGAGAGAGAAUGUAAUUCAGGUGGUGAAGACAAACAACGAAGUAACCCGUCAGCCUGUGGCCGGAGGCCAAUAACUCAGUGCAGAGUUCUAGUUUACAAGGACGCUCCCUCUCAUUCAAUCCUUGGAAUCCUCCUUCAUCCUUCUCCAGAUGUGGUAUGUCCCUGGAAGCUUCAAAAUAUUUGCCCGUGUCCAUUGCCUAGUAAGUCGCAGAACUGGGGUUUGAAAGGGGGUUUUCAGACUUUGAGAAGUGGCUGGUGGGGGGGCAGGCACUGAGUUUCGUUUCAUUUCAGGAGCAAUAGGAACAGUCGAGGCAGACGUAAGCAUGAGGUGUGGAGGGUCUGGGCAAAACUGAGCAAUGGGGCCCUGUGCCUGGUUGGCCUGGAGGUGGAGAGGGAGGCUCGGAGGUGAGAAGCCCCACCACUGCCCAGGAUGUGUGCAAAUGGCUACUGGGCUUGAGGAGAGGUUUGCCAGUGAGGCAGGCCCCAGCGAGUCCUGCGUGGGAGCCAGGAGAGCGCAGUGCCAGAUGUCAGGGGCUCUGGGAGGAGGGGCCUAAGGGGUGACUGACAGGACCGUCAAUGACAAGCCCAGUGAGCAUCUGGCCUGCUAACGUGCAGCUGGAACAGAGGACCCAAGAUCAGAGAAAUGCACCAGCGAGUAGAUGGGGCCCUGAGAGCAGGCAACACUGGGGGAAUUGAAGCAUCUCCUGGGGGGAUUACAGGGGAGAAGGAGAAGAGAAAAAAGCAGCCAGCCUACCUGCUUGCAGACGCCCACUUGGAAGGAAGACCGAGAGGCCUCUGGAGGUGCCAGCUGGGGGUGGGUGGGUAGGACUGCCUUCAAUUCAGAGGCCCAGGUGAGAAACAGCAAGAGUGCUUUUUCCUCACCUGCCUGGACCGUGUUGGUAAAGGUGAAGGCAGCAUGUGGGGGCAGGUAGCAGAGCCCUGCCAAGAGUAAGAGGACAGUGUCCUAGGUUGCACGUGUCCCCCAAGCCAGGCUGCGUCUUCAAAUGAAAAAGUCACCCCCCCCCCCCAUUUUUUCUAAACAAGAAGGCACAAUCAUUUGUUCCCAUGCAGGGCAGGAGAACUAAAGGGAUGGAACAUCUCUUUGGCCCCAGGCUUAGGGUUUGAGUGGGAAGGGAGGUGAGCUGAGGCAGGAAGGACAACUUGGGCAGGAGCCUGACAACAUGGGGCUUGUCCUCCCGAUGACGUUGCUGCCCUGACAGCACCCCUCAGAGGCCUCUGCAGUCCUGCUCCUCCGACCCUCCCAGUGCCCUCCAGCCCCUCUCCUGUCCACACACACACUCAAUACCUCCUUGCUUCCCCAUUCAAACAUGACUAACUAGGUGUAUAGCAAAUUGGAUCCUAUUUGUAAUCUAUCAGUAAAUGUUAGUCAGUGACUGUGCGCCUGAACCUUUGCUACUCCCACUCAGAUUGUCUUAAAGUUUUCUUUUUAAUAAAACUCUGGCUAUAAAGUAAGAAGAGCCUGCUAUGGGACAGUCAGGAAAGGAUAAUGAGGACAGUAUCAAUCAGAUUGUCUUUUAAUCAAUUAAAAAUAAACAACUUUAUCUCAUUUUUGAUGACUAGGCAUUCUUUCCAGCCACUGAAGGUCCUGGUGCUGUGGUGGGUUCUGCAUUGUGAGUGCUCAGUCAGGACUUGUGGGGUGGCUGCUCAUUGGCUGGUGCCCAGCGAGCACCAGGCUUCCUGUAAACAUUCAAAAAUAUGGCGUGUGUUGGAGUGGUAGCUUGUCUGUAGCACACUGCCUGGGGAGCUGGCUGAAUUCCAUAUAGACUUGUUUUUCCCAAGUUAGCUGGUGGCUUCCUGCCAUGACAACAAGCUCAGUCCUGCAGGAGUGGGUUUGGAUGGUGCCUCUGGAUCCCCUGAGUGUGAGCUGACCCUGAGAGGAGUUAGUCCCUUGACAAUCAGAUGUUGAGUACCUACUGUGUGCCUCGUACCAUGUGGGCUACUGAGGCUUUAUAAAGAUGAAGGCUGAUGGAGAUAGGUUCCACAGACCAGCUGGAAUGUAACCUAAUACAUGUGGGCCUAGAGUUAGAUAUAAAACAUUGAGAGAGCAGAGGGGAUGGCCCUGGGGGUAAGUCACUCCACGAAGUCUUCACAGAAGACUCUUCACAGAAGAGGUGGCCUGAGAGUUGAGCCUUGAAGGGCGAGUGGAGUGUAGAAGGUUGGGGGACUUAGGGCCAGGUGGAGAGAAGAGAAGCCAUUCUAGGAAAAAUGGAGAACAAGAACAGUGAGCUGGAGGCGUGAGGCUGAAAUGCGUUCCAGGAGCACCAGGAGGACCUUCUGUGGCUUACAUUUUUGUUUGAGCUGCACUGUUAAAGUGGGUGGCUGCUGCUAUGUGAGCAGCGAGCUCCCUGCAUCUUCGGAGGGUCCUCUCCCUGGCCCCUCCAUGCUUUUCCUUGGGUCUACCUGGCAGGAAACAGGAAUGUCUCCUGGUUUCGGCCAGGCCCAGUUCCAUUGCCUCCUUCCCUGAAGCCUCUGGGAUUAUCUGGACAGAUGUGGCUGCUCCCACUUCUGGGCUGUCACUUCACCCUGUCCUUCCCACUGUUAUGGCCCCUUACACACUGAUUGUCACUGUUUUAGGGUCUGCUUUCUCCAUUAGGCUAUAUGUUCUUCACAGGCAGGAAACGUGCUCGGUUCGUCCCCGCAUUCCUAGCAUCUGGCACUGGACCUCACAUAGAACACACACUCAAUAAAUGCUGAAUGCUUUAGUUUGUUCUGUGAGCACAUCCCACUCACUGAGCAGACCCUGGCUCAGUUUUCUCGUCUAACCUCAUUAGGGAUUAAUGUAAGACUCUGAGCAGUCUGAUGCAGGGUGAGAAGGUUCAGGUUAGAUUGUCCUCAUCAACCCCAAUUAGUGCUUGAUUGAGAAGGUCACAGUCCAGGCUUAUGUAGUGAGAAUCCAUUAUUUAAUUGAUUAAAACAGGUUUUCAGUUGGCAGCUUGACAAGUGCAUACUGCACAGCCUCACCCACUCCACCUACAGGGCUAGUAUGUGACAGAUUUAGGUGGAAAAUGCUUGGAAUGCCUUGAAGAUCCUGCUCCAGCCAGCCAGCUGGGUGCUACUGGGACAGGGAGGUCCCUGGUGACAAAUGUGACCUGAUUACUGGAGCUCUUUCUUCCUAGGAUGGGCCUUGGGAGCAUGGCUAAUUGCUAAACCAGGGACUGAGAGAAGAUGAGAAGCACGUCUCCUGAAUCCUGCCCUGUUGUACCAUUGACCCCAUUUGGGAACCUGGACCUUGUCUUUUCAUACUAAUCGUCAGCUGAACUAUCAGGACGGUUUUAUAAAUCCCUAAUUCCUCUAAGGGAAUUUUGUGAUGAUGCCCUUCCAAGGAAAGGUGGAUGAAUGAGCGGAUAAGCAGAGGGAUGGGAUAUAUGGAUGGACAGAUAGCAAAUGACCAGAUGGAUAGACAGGUAGAUGGUAGAAUAAGUGGAUGGAUAGAUGGAAGGGAAGUCAGCCUGUGCUUAUGGGCCUCCUGGGGACAUAAAGUCCUCCAGUGGGAGGUGGUGCUGGUGGAUGCUGCUGUGGCAGGACUUUAGUUCCUGAAGGCUUGGUAUGAGUAGUUGAAGAGCUAAAUAUAAAGGGCUAACUCUUGCAUUUUUUUUCAGGAAACAGCAAUAAAUUGAAUGCAACUGAUGUCUCUUCAAAGAUUUGCUGUCUACCAAGACUUUCAAGCAUCGAAAAUAUCUUUAUCUUUUCCUCUCAGCAUUGAUGGGGAGGCCAUUUAGGAGAGAGUGAAAUAACCUGCAAAGAGAAAGAAAUGACACCUAUAAAAAUAAUAUAGGAAGCAAUAAAACAACACUGCAAACAGUUUGGCAGGUGGAGAGGAAAGAAUCACCUUCAUAAAUCCAUCAUUCUAGAGUGAGCCUUGUGUUUGUGUGGCUGUGCUUAUGCACGGGAAUGGACACAGCUGCAAUCACCCUCCACAUACCCACACUCUGUAACCUACUUUCUCCACCUAACAUGAUGUCAUGAGCAUUUUUCUAUGUUGCUACAUAGUCUUUAUAAUUACUUAAAGUGACUGUAAAAUAUUCCAUUCACUGCUAUUGUUGAUAUUUAGAUUGCUUGUAUGAUUUUUCCUUUGUUCAUUUUUAUGAAUUGACGAAUAGUAGGUAUUUCACUCAGUGCCUUGAAAAACAUAUAUAUCUAGUAGGUGCUUUAUUUCAUUCCCAUCUCUCUCCUUCAUAUAUAUCUUUGUAUCUGGGCUUUUCCUUAGGAUAAAUUUCUUAGGAUAAAUAUUGAGUUCAAGCGUUUAAACAAUUGUAUGACUUUUUACAUGGUAUUUCACACACGUUGCUUUAUUAUGAUGAUAAUAACAAUGAUGAUAAUAUGAAUAACUCCACAAUUACACAUAGUAUUUCACAAAAUCCUCCCAACAUCUCUGAGGGUAGUCAUUACCCCAUUUUAGAUGAGAAGCAGAUGUCCACAAGUUUAAGUAAUUUGUCCAGCGGCUAUGUCUGUUCUGUUUUCGUCUUUCUCCCCAGGGUUAAGUACAAUGUCUGGCUCAUAGAAUGACUGCAGUAAAUGUUUCCUGAAUGAA